UGAGCUCCCACUCACCUUGUGGUAUUUGUGAUGGACAGAGGGCUUCCAGUGAAGUAUCAUGGUCAUUUCAGUGACAUUUCAGUUUUGUCAAAGCAAGAAGAAUGAAACUCCAGGAAAGAAAAUGAAUACUGGGUGAUUAGCACUUUCUCUACACUGCAAAGGGUCUCAAAGCGAGUUGUUACUAAAGCAGCACUUGUUCAAAGAAGCUUUGCAUUGGGCCAGGGAUACUCCUGUAGCUGUGACCAGCAAGAGCUGUCAUCUACCUCAGAGCUACCCAGGAGCAGAGCAACUCUACGUGCCUCCCUACUCCUCUAGGCCAGUACCGCAGUAGCCAUCUGC
rnacentral:lncRNA from 1 species